rnacentral:rRNA from 1 species
UGUUAUACAUUGUUUAGAAUUUUUAUAGCUAGAGGGAAAAGUUAUGAUCUUUGAAUUCAAAGGACUUGGCGGUGUUUUAGUCGCGUUAGGGGAACCUGUUUUAGAAUCGAUGUACCUCGUUACAUCUUACUUUCUUAGGAUUAGUUUGCAUACCGCCAUUAUCAGGUGUCUACCAAAGAAGCUACUGCAAUGGUUUUAUAAACAUUAAACAUAAAAAUUAGGUCAACGUACAGCUUAUGGGAAAUUGUCAAAAUGGGUUACAGUGUUUUACAAACAUACGGAGGUAAAUUUGGAAUAGAUGCCGUAAGGUGGACUUAAUAGUAAUGAGAUUUUAACAUGUUUUCAUGAGUAUCGCUCUAGGACAU